rnacentral:lncRNA from 1 species
GAAGUCAUUGAUGAGAACAAUUUCGCACACCUCUUACAUAGGGAAUAAAAAACAAACAACCCAGGUAAGUAAUGCUAAAACUGUCCUAAAGCAGAAUUAGCAAUAGACAGUUUAUAUUCGAUUUAGGUCUUAAGGAUUAAAUCCAGCUGUUUAUUGAAAGAUAAAAAAGAAAACACAAGGAGGGGCUGUUUUAGUUCUCUGGUGUUUUAGAUAUCAAGAUGGUGUCUGUUUGAAUUUUCUCUAAUGUCAUCAUGUGAACUUAGGUUCAUCAUCAGAGUUGCGGUGAAUACACAGGGAGAUACUUUGUUUAUAAUAGUAACAGAGUGAACUUUGAGUUUUGUUUAGCUUUUAUUCCAAUUUUGUUAUGUGCUGUGGGCUAUAUAUAUUUAUUCUUAUACGUUACUUUUUAACUAUCCAGCAAAGUACAAAAAUAGUUUAAAAGUAAACAAAUUAUAAACUUUUCUCAAGUGUUAGAAUCAACAGCAAAAUAAUAAACAAUGUAUCGAAAUGUAGCGCAAAAAUAGACUGGUGUCAGUGCACAUGGAUUUUCUUUAUGCUGACCCAUAGUUCUUGUUUCAUUAUAUUGCUUGACAUUGAAAAUAGAAUAUAUAGCAAAACGCAAAGUGAGUCAUUCUUGUCCUAUCAUAUUAAAGAAGGCUUUACUCAUGCUUUACGUGUAUUUAUUUAUAUGUUAGUUCAUGUUAGAAAAUAGUAUUUCAUUUAGUAAAACAGCUUUUUUGUUUUCAAAAUUUACUGCUACCAAAAUAAGUAUUUUCAUGCAAAUUAAAAGACAUUCCAUGUUUCGAUCAAUGAAAUUGUGUCAGCAUUAUUUUCUUUAAAAUUAAUAAUAAGAGAGCAGGAAGAGGGGAGAGAGGAUAACCCGAAAUUUUAAAGACAUCAUAACAAACCACAAGGCUGAACGUUAAGUAGUCUAUAAAUUUCUCCAGAACCUAAAGAUGACUUAUUUUCCCCCAUAAUAUGCACUUUGCAGUAAUGUAUCUUUUAAUUCUUCUUUUAGCUAUAACAUUGGUGUUGCGUUAUGGAGAUAUUGCUCUCAUUGUUUUCCUUUUUGGAUUAUACACUGUCAUAUACGGAGGUUUAUAGAAGAGUGAAAUACACAGUUUGCAGGUGUUUUUGAGACCUUUUGAGAUCUUUUUAUUUCUCCUGGACUAAAGAACGGUUAGAAGGAAUUUGAGAAUGAAAAGAAAAGACUUGGUUAAAAUAGAAAAAGAAAACCUCAAGAGCAAAAACAGAUUAAAUUGAAGGAUGAGGACAAUGGCACUGGCAGAACGUGGUACCAAGGAAGUGUUAUGAGGUCAUGGUUAUACUAUAUAGGUAAUUCAAGUUCGAGGUUAUAGAAGAGAGCUUUACAAUUUAUAUUUUUCUGAUUGGAAUUUCUCCAUAGACAAAGGAAUUGUUGAGGCUGCUAGCAAUCUGAAUCACAUUUUAAUAGAUUUUUCUAUACCUUGGUAAUUGACUAUUUUCUGAUAAAUUAAUGUGUUUUUAUCAAGGUCGUGUUAAACAACACAUAUAAAAAAAAAUACAUUAGAUGUCGAUGUAGAUGUCGAUUUGCUUAGCAUUGUACAGAGCUGAGCUAAUAAAAAAGAGUUACAAUUAUAACUCAAUUUAAACAUUUGUUUGUAACAGUAUUAUUUAGUAAAUAGCUAUUUUAUGGUUCCCUUUAGAGCUCUCUUACUCCAUGCAGAAGCUAUCACUAAAUGGUGUUGUAUUUUUGGUGUAACUUGACCCGAUAGAGUUAUUAGUAAUGUGUUGCUUGCUAAGAAUCUAGCAGAGUGAUAGGUCACAGAAUAUGCAGAAUAUGACCACGCAUUGCAGCAGGAUCCUUAGACAAUGCGAAAGUUAUCUAGAACAUGUGGAGGUCAUAUACAAUGGCAGAAUACAUAAGACAAGGCUUAAGUAACCCAUAAAUAGCAAAGGAAUAGUUCUCCCAUCUCCUCUAAAAUGCUAAUGAAUACAUUUAUUCUGUGACCUAUUUUACUUUGAGAGAGCAAAAAACAAGGUACAUGAGAAUACUGAAAAUGGACAACAUUUUAAGUAGUUUGCCUUUUGGUUGUUCCCCACUCAGAUCUCAAGCUAGUUUUAGCUCAUCUUGAGUCAUUACAAAGAGAACCUAGGCCAUUUGUAUAUAAGACUGACAUCAUCCAAAAGGGCUGUCCAGAUCCGAAAUACAGGCUGGUUCUGUCUGCACAAGAGAUACAGCAACCCCAGAUGAUCAUUUUGGCCUUGUUACGCCUCAUCAGAAAGGUAUAUAACUUAUAUCCCUCUAGGGCAUCACAAGCAAGUGUCUGGGUUAUCUGAAUUACUUUUUAAACUUAGGGAGAGCAAAAAAACAGCGUGCAUGAGAAUGCUGAAAAUGGAGAACCGCUCAAGAAGAAUGCCUAUCGGUAGGUCUACUGCUUUGAUCUAAAACAGGGGUUCCCAACCCAGUCCUCAAGUACCCCCUACCAGUCCAGGAUUUAGGGAUUUCCUGAAGUGUGUUAGACACAACUGGGUAAUCCCUAAAUCCUGAACUGUUAGAGGGUACUUGAGGACUGUGUUGGGAACCACUGUUCUAGAGUAAUAUCAGCUCACCUGAUGGCGCACAAAGAAGGCCUAAAUGAUCAUUCAGGGUUGCUGUAUCUCUCGUGCAGAGAGAACUUGCUGGAAUUUCAGCUCUUAACUACCCUUAUGGGUGGGAUCAGUCUGAUAUGCAUAUGGUAUAGGUUCAUUUUGUAAUGGCAUAAGUGAGCAAAAAAAAUGUUGAGACCUGAACAGGGACUUAUCGAAGCACAAGCCCGUUUUCAUGCUCUCUGUUUUUGAUGCAAGCUCUUUUCGUUUGUUACUCUUUCCAGAUAUCAUGUAUAAUUUUGUUUGAGAAUACCAUUGAGCAUUUUCAUUCAGAAUUUAACUUGUAUCACUACCUUGGCUGCAAACGUUAAAAAAUGUAUUUAUUUAUUUUUCCUUGUGUAAGGGCUUCUGAUAGUAAUAUCUGUUAAGAUGUUCUGCGUGUGGAGUCGAAAUCUAGUUUUAUUACAAGAUAAUGUCAAA